UAAUGAUUUAUGGUUAGAGUUGCUUUAAGAAACAGUUCUUUGCUCCUAUUGGACCAAAACCUUUCUUUUUUUUAAAUUGAUGCUGGCUCUUAUCUCCUUAACAUACCACCACCUACUGACCACAAGUGUUGUUCAUGGGUUAGUUCUUAAACCAAGGUCACCGCCUUUUAAAGAUACGUGUUUUCUCCUCCCAAUUUUGGUGGUUUCGAGAAACUCCACCGCUUCUCUAUCUUUCUUCCGAUCGACAAAUCCUAAACGUACCCCAUCGCCAUUACAUCUUCUGCCUAUAUGUUUUUCCGGCUUUCAUGAAAAGGUUUACGCAUCGCAUAUUUCCUCCACCAUCGUCUUCACCGAGAAGCCAGCCUCACCACCACCAUCGACGUCCUUUUCAUCCCUAGCCCAGAUAAAAUCGAAAGGAAAAUCAAAGAAGAAACCACACAUCCUCAGCAACACCAUCCAACCACCCUCUAAGUAUUCCGACCACCGGAUGUAAGUAAGAAAAUCAUGAAUUACGGCCUUUUAUCCUUGCGGUUACGUAAUUUGUGGUGAAAACAAAGCUUUUACCUCAGAUGACGAAUUCCUUCACUCAUUGUGUUCAUUAACAAAUAUUGCACUCUAACUGUUUGUUGAUUUGCCACAACCUAUCGAGGAUAAAUCAGAAGAGGGUUCAGUCCACAGAGAUGUUGUUAUUGCUAGAGUUUCAACAGAGAAGAAAGACAUUCUAAUUAGACCAUGGGAAGAAAGCGAGAAAUCAAAGAACAGCAAGAAAGCAGACUUACAAGCUGAAUCGAAGAAGAUUGAGAUAACAUUUACAUCAUAUCAUCGAUAAUCGAUAAUGAAAUAUGUUGAAAUAAAAUCAUGUAAUUGAAAAAUAAUUGUUAAGUACACCCCUUUUGGCAAGAUCAAAAUUUAGUUGAGCUGGAAAAAAUUUACACCUUUUUUGGUAAGAUCAAAAUAAGAAUCAUCAAAGGGUAAGUGUAAAAUUAUUUAUAUACCUUUAUUCCAUAUAUUAUUUUCUUAAAAUAAGCAUAAUUUGCCAAAGAAAACACCAUAAAAAUAUUAAUCUUCAAGCAACAGGAGCACAUUCAACCAUUAAAUUAAGGGCAUUUUUGUCCUUUGUUGCAUUCGCAGAAAAGAUCAACAGGGAAGAGGUAUUUAUAAUGCCACCAGUUAUGUUAAAUCUUAAUACUUUCUUUAUAUGGUGUUGGCCACAUGCUAUUGUUCUAUACAAUUUCUUGAUUACUGAUUUGGUUGCUUUGAUAAAUUGUUAGAAAGGUGGUGGAGAUUACUCGGUUUGAUUCAUAAUAUUCAUAUUAUUUUUGAUUUGCUUAUUUCUAAGUUAGAGACUUGGCUUUAAAUGUUAUAUGUGUAACUUCUUAUUUCAAGAUCUAUUGGAAUAUUCUUACAUUUUAACAAAGAUUUUUGGCUGUGGAAACUGUUUUGCAGACCUUCAAAUGUUAAAUUCAACCAAAGCUACAUCGAUUGCAUCAUUAAAGGUUAAGGAAGCAGGGUUUUUUUUUUUUUUUUUUUCAUUUUCACUUUAUUUUUCGUACUUUUUUCUAUGUCAUAUGGAUCGAUUAUGCUUCACUCGCUUAUUAUUUGUGUGCAAAAGCGUGGAAAUCUACUUCAUUGGGAUCGAUUUUGUUUGUUUUUCUACAAUUACGAUAAUAUCUGCCUUCAUGGUCGAUCAUCCCAAGGUAUUCCGAUCGUUUUUUCCUUGACUUUUUUUUGAUAGAGAUGAGUAGGGACUGUUUUUUCCAUUUAUGGCAAUGCACUUUCAUUUGUGUCUAUUUUAUAAUUUGUAGCAAAUCUCAUUAAAUUAAUAAAAAUGACCAUGUAUGGGCUUUUUAGCCAUUUAUAUCAAUGUACUUUUAUUAUAUUUACAAAGAUUCAUUAAAAUGUC